rnacentral:rRNA from 1 species
AACGAACGCUGGCGGCAUGCCUAACACAUGCAAGUCGAACGACACCUUCGGGUCUAGUGGCGCACGGGUGCGUAACGCGUGGGAACCUGCCCUUAGGUUCGGAAUAACUCCCCGAAAGGGGUGCUAAUACCGGAUAAUGUCUUCGGACCAAAGAUUUCUCGCCUUUGGAUGGGCCCGCGUUGGAUUAGCUAGUUGGUAGGGUAAAAGCCUACCAAGGCGACGAUCCAUAGCUGGUCUGAGAGGAUGAUCAGCCACACUGGGACUGAGACACGGCCCAGACUCCUACGGGAGGCAGCAGUGGGGAAUAUUGGACAAUGGGCGAAAGCCUGAUCCAGCAAGGCCGCGUGAGUGAUGAAGGCCUUAGGGUUGUAAAGCUCUUUUACCCGGGAUGAUAAUGACAGUACCGGGAGAAUAAGCUCCGGCUAACUCCGUG